UACGUAGGGACCAAGCGUUGUCCGGAAUCAUUGGGCGUAAAGAGCGUGUAGGCGGCUUGUUAAGUCUUGCGUGAAAUCUCGGGGCUCAACCCCGAGCGGUCGUGAGAAACUGGCAGGCUAGAGUGCGGGAGAGGAGAGUGGAAUUCCAGGUGUAGCGGUGAAAUGCGUAGAUAUCUGGAGGAACACCGGUGGCGAAGGCGGCAUCCUGGACCAUAACUGACACUGAGAGACGAAAGCCAGGGGAGCAAACGGG
rnacentral:rRNA from 1 species